rnacentral:rRNA from 1 species
GCUAAACCCAGCUGAUCAACCCCACAAAACAUCAAUUAAGUUUAAUCAAAUCAUUUGUCCAGGGUAGUAAUUGAGAUUAAACACCACCACUCAGCCCAAAGUAAGUACCGCAAGGGAACAAUGAAAGAACAAUGAAAAACUUAAGCAUAACACAGCAAAGAUAAGCCCUUGUACCUUCUGCAUCAUGGUUCAGCAAAACAUCCUCAGACAAAGAGAACUUAAGUCUAUUUUCCCGAAACCAAACGAGCUAUUUCUAGGCAGCAUCUAUGAGCACACCCGUCCCUGUAGCAAAAGGGUGGGAAGACCUAAAAAUAGAGGUAAAAAACCAACCGAGCUUGGUGAUAGCUGGCUACUCAAAAAAGAAUUUAAGUUCAACCCUAAGUUUACUAAAGCAUAUAAAACUUCGACCCUUAUACCUAGGGAAAAUCAACAGGGGUACAGCCCUGUUGAUCCGGAAUACAACCCGAACCGAGAGACCUUCCCCUUUUAAAACCCCAGUAGGCCUCAAAGCAGCCACCAAAACAACCGCGUUAAAGCCUAGGUUAACUAGAUCCGAAAAGCAUAACCACCCUCCUGAUUCUACUUCGAGUUAUUUUAUACAAAUAUAAAAGCACUAAUGCUGAAACUAGUAAUAAGAAAACUUCUCUCAGCACAUCUUUAAAUCAGAAUAGAAAAACUACUGAUAAUUAACAGACACGACAAACACUCACAAGCCAUAGUGUCACCCACUCACUGUUACCCCAACACAGGUGUGCAAAAAAGAAAGGCCUAUAACUACAAAAGGAACUCGGCAACAAACCUAGUCCCAACUGUUUACCAAAAACAUAGCCUUUAGCUUAACAAGUAUUAAAGGUCCCGCCUGCCCAGUGACCCCUUCAACGGCCGCGGUAUCCUAACCGUGCAAAGGUAGCAUAAUCACUUGUCCUUUAAAUAAGGACUAGAAUGAACGGCUAAAUGAGGACUAAACUGUCUCUUGUAGUUGACCAAUGAAACUGAUCUUACAGUCCAAAAGCUGUAAUAAACACACAAGACGAGAAGACCCUGUGGAGCUUUAAAACCAAGCCUCAAUCAUUUUGUUGUCCUUGGUUUUUAGUUGGGGCGACUUCGGAGUACAAAAAAACCCCCGAUAUGGAACCUCCCACAUCAAGGUUAACACACCAAAAUUAAUCUUGACCCAGUAAUACUUAUAUUAUCUGAUCAACGAACCAAGUUACCCCAGGGAUAACAGCGCCAUCCCCUUCUAGAGUCCCUAUCGACAAGGGGGUUUACGACCUCGAUGUUGGAUCAGGACACCCAAAUAGUGCAGCCGCUAUUAAAGGUUCGUUUGUUCAACGAUUAAUAGUCCUACGUGAUCUGAGUUCAGACCGGAGAAAUCCAGGUCGGUUUCUAUCUGUGCAACGCUACCCCUAGUACGAAAGGACCGGGGUAGCAGGACCAAUACUAAAAGAAUGUCCUACCAAAAACUACUGACUCCCUCUAAAGUAGCCAGCACAGCCCCCCCCAACCCUAAAUUAGGGAUU